rnacentral:lncRNA from 1 species
AGCUAUUAAAACGUGAAGUACGGACUUACGAAGACAACCCAUAAUAGGUUCUUGAAGUGCAAAAAAAUCGAAAAAAAAAUUCAAGUUGUAUUGCAAGUUUCUCAUUGUUUUUGAAGUUUUGAAAAAAAUGAAAUUUCAAAAAAAAAAGUGUUAGAAAUUUCCCGACUCACAAAGAAUUGAUUUCCUGCCCCCAACUCUUCUACCUCAACGCCACUCUCAAC